CUAGGAAGAAGGAUGAUCGAGGUGUACCAUACAGUACGCUUAGGAAAGUCCAGACAGCAUAAAGCAGGGUGAUCGAUGUAAAUCGAUACGGGUAACCGCUAGUUAGAGCAACAGUGACGAACCGAGAUAAUGCUCGGGUGAAACGUGGCAAUCCUCCCCGCUGCAAUCCUAGAACCGACAAAGCUGCUUGCUUUAAUGUCGAAAUCAGGAGCAUUAGAUAAAUGAUCGUCUAAAAACAGAAUCUGGCUUACUCUCCUCCUAGGCAU
rnacentral:RNase_P_RNA from 3 species